rnacentral:rRNA from 1 species
UAAUUGAAGAGUUUGAUCAUGGCUCAGAUUGAACGCUGGCGGCAGGCCUAACACAUGCAAGUCGAGCGGGGUUUUCGGACCUAGCGGCGGACGGGUGAGUAAUGCGUAGGAAGCUGCCCGAUAGAGGGGGAUACCAGUUGGAAACGACUGUUAAUACCGCAUAAUGUCUACGGACCAAAGUGUGGGACCUUCGGGCCACAUGCUAUCGGAUGCGCCUACGUGGGAUUAGCUAGUUGGUGAGGUAAUGGCUCACCAAGGCGACGAUCUCUAGCUGGUUUGAGAGGAUGAUCAGCCACACUGGAACUGAGACACGGUCCAGACUCCUACGGGAGGCAGCA